GAUGAACGCUGGCGGCGUGCCUAAUACAUGCAAGUCGAGCGAACAGACGAGGAGCUUGCUCCUCUGACGUUAGCGGCGGACGGGUGAGUAACACGUGGAUAACCUACCUAUAAGACUGGGAUAACUUCGGGAAACCGGAGCUAAUACCGGAUAAUAUAUUGAACCGCAUGGUUCAAUAGUGAAAGACGGUUUUGCUGUCACUUAUAGAUGGAUCCGCGCCGCAUUAGCUAGUUGGUAAGGUAACGGCUUACCAAGGCAACGAUGCGUAGCCGACCUGAGAGGGUGAUCGGCCACACUGGAACUGAGACACGGUCCAGACUCCUACGGGAGGCAGCAGUAGGGAAUCUUCCGCAAUGGACGAAAGCCUGACGGAGCAACGCCGCGUGAGUGGUGAAGGUCUUCGGAUCGUAAAACUCUGUUAUUAGGGAAGAACAAAUGUGUAAGUAACUAUGCACGUCUUGACGGUACCUAAUCAGAAAGCCACGGCUAACUACGUG
rnacentral:rRNA from 1 species